rnacentral:rRNA from 1 species
UGGCGGCGUAGCCUAACACAUAGGCAAGUCCGAGACGAGAAACUCAUGACCAAUACUUCGGUAGCGUGAUUCGAGCGGAAAGCGGCGGACGGGUGAGUAACGCGUAGGCAACCUGCCCCUUGCAGAGGGAUAGGACCUCGGGAAACCGGGAUUAAAACCUCAUAAUGCGUAACGGAGACAUCUCCGAUACGCCAAAGAUUUAUCGGCAAGGGAUGGGCCUGCGUCUGAUUAGUAGUUGGUGGGGUAACGGCCUACCAAGGCAGCGAUCAGUAGCCGACCUGAGAGGGUGAUCGGCCACAUUGGAACUGAGAGACGGUCCAAACUCCUACGGGAGGCAGCAGUGGGGAAUAUUGGGCAAUGGGCGAAAGCCUGAACCCCAGCAACGCCGCGUGAGUGAAGAAGGCCUUCGGGUUGUAAAGCUCUGUUAUAGGGGACGAAGGAAGUGACGGUACCCUAUGAAUAAGCUACGGCUAACUACGUGCCAGCCGCUGC